CGGACGGGUGAGGAAUACAUCGGAAUCUACUCUGUCGUGGGGGAUAACGUAGGGAAACUUACGCUAAUACCGCAUACGACCUACGGGUGAAAGCAGGGGAUCUUCGGACCUUGCGCGAUGAAUGAGCCGAUGUCGGAUUAGCUAGUUGGCGGGGUAAAGGCCCACCAAGGCGACGAUCCGUAACUGGUCUGAGAGGAUGAUCAGUCACACUGGAACUGAGACACGGUCCAGACUCCUACGGGAGGCAGCAGCA
rnacentral:rRNA from 1 species